CCUACGGGAGGCAGCAGUCGAGAAUCAUUCACAAUGGGCGAAAGCCUGAUGGUGCGACGCCGCGUGGAGGACGAAGGCCCUAGGGUCGUAAACUCCUGUCAUCAGGGAGUAAGGUGUUCACCAGUAACUGGGUGGGCAAUUGAUAGUACCUGAAGAGGAAGGGACGGCUAACUUCGUGCCAGCAGCCGCGGUAAUACGAAGGUCCCGAGCGUUGUUCGGAUUUACUGGGCGUAAAGAGUCUGUAGGCUGUAAAGUAAGUCAGGUGUGAAAUCCCGGGGCUCAACCCCGGAACUGCACCCGAUACUGCUUUACUGGAGUAUUGGAGGGGAAUCUGGAAUUCUCGGUGUAGCAGUGAAAUGCGUAGAUAUCGAGAGGAACACUAGUGGCGAAGGCGAGAUUCUGGACAAUUACUGACGCUGAGAGACGAAGGCCAGGGUAGCGAAAAGGAUUAGAUACCCUUGUAGUCCUGGCAGUAAACGGUGCACGCUUGGUGUAGGAGGAUUCGACCCCUUCUGUGCCGGAGCUAACGCGUUAAGCGUGCCGCCUGGGGAGUACGGUCGCAAGAUUAAAACUCAAAGGAAUUGACGG
rnacentral:rRNA from 1 species